GCCUGGAUGUCUUAGUCGGUUAAGUGUCUGACUUCGGCUCAGGUCAUGAUCUCGCAGUUCGUGAGUUCAAGCCCCGCGUCAGGCU
rnacentral:tRNA from 1 species